UCCAGCUUAUUGCUGGCAGUUUUCCUAGAGUUCCCGGCAUUACCCGCUGGCAACUAAGAAUGAGGGUUGCGCUCGUUGCGGGACUUAACCCAACAUCUCACGACACGAGCUGACGACAGCCAUGCAACACCUGUGUGUGGUCCGGCCGAACCGAAGGAAUCCAUCUCUGGAUCCCGCGACCACCAUGUCAAAAGUUGGUAAGGUUUUUCGCGUAGCAUCGAAUUAAACCGCAUGCUCCACCGCUUGUGCGGGCCCCCGUCAAUUCCGUUUGAGUUUUAAUCUUGCGACCUUACUCCCCAGGCGGAGUGCUUAAUGUGUUAACUGCGACACCGAAAAUAAAUCCCGAUAUCUAGCACUCAUCGUUUACAGCGUGGACUAC
rnacentral:misc_RNA from 1 species